UGGUGGUAAAAACUGUUUUGGACAAAGAGU
rnacentral:piRNA from 1 species